UAGGAUACUGCUGAAGCCUGUGGAAUCUCAGCCAUGCCAACAUUUCACUUCUACAAGAAUGGGGAAAAGCUGGAUGAAGUAGUUGGAGCAGAUGAGGGAAAAAUCCAAGAAUUAGUAGCAAAGCUUAAAUAAAUUUGAGAAAUCAUGUUAGUUAAAAAAAUUUCUUUAUGAUGUAUAAUUGUUGUAAUAGAUAUUUAUCUACCUUUUCUGUAAAUUCGGAGUUUGACUGUGAUGAAUACCAGAAAUUUUGCCAUGUGAAGGGCAUUUUAUUUCCAUUGUUUAGUGUUUAUAAUUAGGUAGGAUACAUUUGAAUUUAUUUUUAGUUUCGAUUUGAAUAACAUUAUGCAGUUGUUUCAUACUAUGGAAAAUUUUACUAGCUAGGAGUAUACAUUAAAUACAAAGUACUUUGAAGACAUCAAAAAAGGGUAUUUUAGAAAAAAAGUAAUUUAUACAUUGUAUACAUGAUAGCAUUCUUAUCAAGGUAUUGAUAAUCAUGAAUUUCUAUUUUACAGUAUUGCACAUUGUGGCCUUUUUUUUGCACCAUUAUGCAAUAAAAUCUUUACAAUCAAA